rnacentral:rRNA from 1 species
UCUGUAGGUGGUUUGAUAAGUCAACUGUUAAAUCUUGAGGCUCAACCUCAAAAUCGCAGUCGAAACUAUUAGACUAGAGUAUAGUAGGGGUAAAGGGAACUUCCAGUGGAGCGGUGAAAUGCGUAGAUAUUGGAAGGAACACCGAUGGCGAAGGCACUUUACUGGGCUAUUACUAACACUCAGAGACGAAAGCUAGGGUAGCAAAUG